UCUAAAACAUUAAAAUGUAUGACUGGCACACGAAACCUUAAAUUAGAGUGAAUCGAUGAAGACUCGGCCCACCACUUCUGAAAGGUUGCCGACCCCUGCGUUAUACCCUAUAGAAUCUCCCUCCCUCACCUUGAUAGCAUCCCUUAUAGAGCCACCCCAUAGAGUCCCCCUCCCUCACUUGGGUGGCAUCCCUUAUAGAGCCCUGCCCAAACACACACAUCACACCCUGUAGAGUCCCUCCACCUGGUGUCUCACACUUUAGGGCCCCACAACAGUGCUGUCCUGGAUAGGGAGACUUGGAAGGCAGAGAUUUUAAUCAGUAAAUGCCCCCAAAAGUCAUGAGAUGUGUGACCCAUGAGUUUUGAACUUUUGGAGCUGGCCAUAUUGUUGAUGCAACAAUUUAUAUAUUCUCCUGUCUAGAGCUUUUCGAAAAAGGUGUGGUUCAUGCCAUACCGCUGCCCAGAUCACUCCUGCAAUAACCAGCAGACCCCUCGUCUUUUCUCUCACUGAAAACCCAGAGUUAGCUGUAUAAAUGCCCAGAGAUCAUAGAGUCACCUGAGAGUCUUUGAGAGAAUGGAGAGACCCAUCUGUGGUGUCAGUAAACAACUUGGGUUCUGCAAAAGGAAGAUCUCUGACACUAUUUUGGACCUCCUGGGAGAAACCAGAGGACUGCACCCAAGAAGCUAGGUGCAUGAGUACUGCCAUAGCCAUGGGAUGCAUAGCCCUGGUGAAAUUGUUUUCUCUGAUCCUGAGGCAAGAGUUCAGUAAAGGCUAAGAACUUGGAAUAAUUUGUGAAGACACACUUCGCCAUCAGUGCUUGGUAAUUGGCUACUCUGAAUCGCAAAGAAGCCAAGGAGUAGCUCUUGUGAUCAAGAAGGUCCAGUCGCUUCAGCUCUUUGUUAGAUGGUGCUGAAUGGAAUCUGUGCUGUGUGUUCCUCUUAUUUGCAGCCUCAACAACCAGAUUGUUGUAUGUAGCCUACGAGAAAAAAUAUUCUGAGCCUCUGGGUGGAACACAGUAUUUUUUGUCAGCCCAUUUGCAUGUAGGCAGGAUAGUAGCUGGAGUUUGCCAUACCGGGCAUGCUAGAGCUAACAAUGUCAUUGAUGGGAAAGGCAAUCCUGGCCGGGGGGAGAUGUAUGAUGAAUGUCCACCAGGGAGCGUUGCAGUUCCUGUAUCUCUGCCAACAGAAUUUGUAAACUGUCCACUGUACAUUUCCUCAGGUCUUGAAAGGCCUUGAAAUCAUCAGGGUAAGAUGGUGGAAGAGACAUGAUCUCCACCUCCAUCUGGUGAAAAGAAGGACUUGUGGGAGGAAGGUGUUUCUUCCUCAUCAGCUGAUUCCUCCUACACAGUGAAAUGCACCGGAGGGACAAGGCUUGAGGUAGCUGGUUGUUGCUCUUGAUAUUUUUCUUAUGAGACCAGGCCCGAUAGAACUGGUCGCUGUAGGGGGCCCACAGGUUCAAACAUAUCCUCUGAGGUGGGGCAUAAGGGAAAAGGGGAGGGCCCCAAGGUUGUCCUUGCCAGAGUCUCUGGAUAUAUUGCCUGCUGGGAGUUUCCUCCUCAGGUUGGACCUCCAGGGAAUGAGGCAGACGACCCUACUACAGACACCUCAGAGUCAGAUGAGAUAUCAUCCCCCAUGUCCAUCAGAGGAGCAGAAAGUGCCAGUACCAGAGAUCAAGUCAGUACUGGGCCCCAGGGAGGUAACUUGUACCUUUAUCAGCAAACACGUUCAAUAGCUGGCUGGUUCAUGAGGCAGCACUAGGGGAAGUCAUGUUGGUACCCACUGGAAAUCUCUCUCAGAACCCUCAAAGAGUCUGUGUGGGGACCCUGGCAUAGAUAGAGGGCAAGUAGGUUCUGUAAAAUGAGUUGGUGCCUGUGGAGAGUGUCUCUCAGUAGUGGUCAAUAGUUGUGAUUCAUACUCUUCCAAGGUGGAACACAGGCCUGGACAGUCUGGGCACUGAAGAUAGGGAUCCUCAGGAGUCGGUAUGUCAGGUGGAGACAGUACCGAAGAGUGAUUGGUAUGUGACGAGGAUUUAGUCUGGACUCCGGAGUUCUUAUGUUUUGAAGGUACCUGGUCCGGCGCCAAGGUUGAUGGCACUUUAGGAGGCUUCUCAGUACGUGGCUUCUUUGCCAGUGUUGUGGAAUCAGUACCGGAGGGGAUGGGCACCUCAGUGAUGCCUGUAGUGGGAUGUGAGGUCUCCUAGGGCACAGAUGGGGGGAGGAGGGGACUUUUCCCUUCUCUUAUCCUGUUCUGGAGAAUGGGUCGUGUAUUCUUUAAAGGUCUGGGUGGUGCUGCAGUGCGUCAGGGUCUUUGCUUACUGCCAGAACAGAGGUGGUGGGUGGGGCUGACAUACAACGGGAUGGUUUGGACCCUGCGGGUCUCAGCAAGUGAGCGCUCCAUUAACUGGGGUUUUAUUCUAUCCUCCCUCAACCUCUUAGAUCUGCUCUUAAAUCCUGAGCAGAUCUGACAUUUGGAGGGGAUGUGAGACUCCCCAAGCCAGCAGAGGCAGUUUGAAUGUCUGUUGCCGCAGAGGGAGACCUAUGGCAAGUCUGGCAGGGUUUGAAGCCUGACAUGUUGGGCAUAACCUGCACUUCAGACCUUGGGUUGAGGCUCGAGAAAAAUUGGACAAAAGGAGAGAGUUAGGGGGACCCCUCCCCCCAACACGAACUGUGCUAAAUAACAGAAAACAUAAGAGACAGGUGUACCUGAGCCACAUGGCCCAGCUAACGGCAGUGCAGUGCUCCAUCUCAAGCUGCAGGUGGCUUAGCGGGAACUGGAGUGGUGGCAGAUCUGUCCCCCAUGAGGGGCCUGAGUGUGUCUAGGACACAGGUGCAGACCGCUGGACACUGCUGAUGUAGAUCUCCAAUGAAGAGCACAUGGGCACAUGCAUAUCUUGACGUGGAGCACCCGUAGGGACCCUACUUGAAAAAGAAUCCUUUUUCCACUGACUAAUCGUUUUUACAGUUAGGAAGUUUUUUAUCCCAUUCAACAUACGU